rnacentral:rRNA from 1 species
GACGAACGCUGGCGGCGUGCUUAACACAUGCAAGUCGAACGGGAAGGCCCUGCUUUUGUGGGGUGCUCGAGUGGCGAACGGGUGAGUAACACGUGAGUAACCUGCCCUUGACUUUGGGAUAACUUCAGGAAACUGGGGCUAAUACCGGAUAGGAGCUCCUGCUGCAUGGUGGGGGUUGGAAAGUUUCGGCGGUUGGGGAUGGACUCGCGGCUUAUCAGCUUGUUGGUGGGGUAGUGGCUUACCAAGGCUUUGACGGGUAGCCGGCCUGAGAGGGUGACCGGCCACAUUGGGACUGAGAUACGGCCCAGACUCCUACGGGAGGCAGCAGUGGGGAAUAUUGCACAAGGGGCGGAAGCCUGAUGCAGCAACGCCGCGUGCGGGAUGACGGCCUUCGGGUUGUAAACCGCUUUCGCCUGUGACGAAGCGUGAGGGACGGUAAUGGGUAAAGAAGCACCGGCUAACUACGU